rnacentral:rRNA from 1 species
CUACGGGAGGCACCAGUGGGGAAUAUUGCGCAAUGGGGGAAACCCUGACGCAGCAACGCCGCGUGAGUGAAGAAGGUUUUCGGAUCGUAAAACUCUGUCCAUGGGAACGAAAAAAAUGACGGUACCCGUGGAGGAAGCCCCGGCUAACUACGUGCCAGCAGCCGCGGUAAUACGUAGGGGGCAAGCGUUGUCCGGAAUCACUGGGCGUAAAGAGCAUGUAGGCGGCAUGGUAAGUUGGAUGUGAAAGUUCAUGGCUCAACUGUGAAAUUGCAUCCAAAACUGCCAAGCUUGAAUAUCGGAGAGGUAAGCGGAAUUCCUAGUGUAGCGGUGAAAUGCGUAGAGAUUAGGAAGAACACCGGUGGCGAAGGCGGCUUACUGGACGAAUAUUGACGCUGAGAUGCGAAAGCGUGGGGAGCAAACAGGAUUAGAUACCCGUGUAGUC